rnacentral:miRNA from 1 species
UCUGACGGGAGAUUUGAGCCAUC